rnacentral:rRNA from 1 species
AAGGAGCUGUGGACUGCAUGGAAGAGAGAAUGCCGGAAUGAGUAGCGAGAUAGAGGUGGGAAUCCUCUAGGCCGAAUAUCCAAGGUUUCCAGAGUAAAGCUGAUCUGCUCUGGGUAAGUCGGGGCCUAAGGCGAGGACGAGAGUCGUAGCCGAUGGACAACAGGUGGAGAUUCCUGUACUGCGGUAUGACAGAACUGUGGGGACACGUAAGGAAAGCGGAAGCCGGGAAUGGAAAGCCCGGUGCAAGCGGGGUACCAGUCACUCUGGCAAAUCCGGGUGGCAAUGGGAAGCCGUGAUGCGGAGCGAAAUAAAGUAGUGAAGUCCGUGAGCCAUGCGUCAAGAAAAGCCGCUAUUGUUUAUACCGUACCCGUACCGUAAACCGACACAGGUGGAUGAGGAGAGAAUCCUAAGGCCGGCGGAAGAAGCAUUGUCAAGGAACUCGGCAAAAUGGCCCCGUAACUUAGGGAUAAGGGGUGCCUCAGAAAUGAGGCCGCAGAGAAUAGGCUCAAGCAACUGUUUAGCAAAAACACAGGUCUAUGCGAAACCGAAAGGUGAGGUAUAUGCUGACGCCUGCCCGGUGCUGGAAGGUUAAGAGGAGAGGUUAGCGCAAGCGAAGCUUUGAAUUUAAGCCCCAGUAAACGGCGGCCGUAACUAUAACGGUCCUAAGGUAGCGAAAUUCCUUGUCGGGUAAGUUCCGACCCGCACGAAAGGCGUAAUGAUUUGAGCGCUGUCUCGACAAUGCAUCCGGUGAAAUUGAAGUACCAGUGAAGAUGCUGGUUACCUGCGCCAGGACGGAAAGACCCCAUGGAGCUUUACUCCAGUUUGGUACUGGGACUCGGUAUUGCAUGUACAGGAUAGGUGGGAG